AAAAAGACAAAUCCUGGGUUUCUGUGUCCAACUUUGACUGUCCGUCUUAUAUGAAAUUUUUUUAUAAUUCGUAUUUUCAUUGUUGUUAGAUGAUAAAACAUGAUUAAUAUUUUAUGCGUGACUUGUCUUUUUAAUUUUUUUCAUAAUUUUUUAAAAUAAGACGGACGGUUAAACGUUUGGCACGGAAAGCAGGGUUCGUCUUUUU
rfam:Oryza nivara chromosome 6, whole genome shotgun sequence.